UGGGUUGGCCAGACGAUCGCGGCAGCAAUGUCGAGGAACGUCCGGGCUCCAAAGAGCAUGAUGGUGGGUAACACCCACUCGGGGUAACCCGCGAGAAAGUGCAACAGAAAGCAGACCGCCACGCAAGUGGUAAGGGUGAAACGGUGGUGUAAGAGACCACCAGCGGUUCGGGUAACCGAGCCGGCUAGGUAAACCUCGUCAGGAGCAAGACCAAAUAUGUUGGAGCACAGAGCGGCUCGCUCUUUCCAACGGGUAGGUUGCUAGAAGUUGUCGGUAACGGCAACUCCAGAUAGAUGAUCGUCACCUCGCAAGAGGCACAAAACCCGGCGUAUCGGCCGGCCCAUCCG
rnacentral:RNase_P_RNA from 1 species